AGGAAGCCUGGGCCCACAGGCUGACAGAGGGAUGGUGUGCUGCACAGAGGAGGACCUGUGAUGGGGAUUCAAGAAGGGACCUCAUGGGCCACUGCCUAGCGGAGCCCAGAGGGUCGUGUGCUGCAGUAUUGCCGUGACUGGGGCCAGGUUCUCCCUCCACCCACGUGUCCCUUACCUGAGAGCACGCUCUGGAUGCGGUCAUAAUGAAGGAAGUUGUAUGUGCUGCUGGUGAGGCUAGCCUCGUCUCUGGGCAGCGUCUCCUUCAGGUGGACUUCCAGCCCAUUCAGCGACGCCAGGCUGCUGUGGUACUGCAGAGGGGCCAGGAGUGGGUCACAGGUCGGCACACUUAGUUGAAAGGACUUCCCUAGGUGGAGGUAGGACUGGCUUGGAACUCACUACGAAGACCAGGCCGGUCUAACUGUGCAAAGCCUUCUGCCUCUGCCUCCUGACUGCUUGGAUUAUAGGUGUGCACCACCCUGCCCCAGCCCCAUCUCUUCAUGUGUUAUGUGGUGUACAUGCAGCUCAGAGGAGGACAUCAGACCCCUUGACAAACCCCCUGCUGUUACAGGCAGCUGUGAGCUGUCCACUGCACUCAGGGCCUGGGAACAUCAGCAAGCGCUCUGAACCCCUGAGCCAUCUCUCCAACUCUGGGAUUGUCUGCUUUAGCAAUAAAGGUGGCCUGGUGUUCCAGUGUUUCCCAACACCAGCA
ensembl:antisense Gm20636 predicted gene 20636